rnacentral:lncRNA from 1 species
AAAUAUGUACAAGCAGAGCGUCUUGGACAAACUGCGCCUUGCUGGACACUAGUGCAGAAUGAAGCCGCUAGUGAGAUACACGCAACAGAACAUAAGGAAUGCCUAAGGCUUUUUGCAUUCUUACAGUAUAACGAAAAACAUUACUAGUAC